rnacentral:rRNA from 1 species
UACGUAGGGGGCAAGCGUUGUCCGGAAUUAUUGGGCGUAAAGCGCGCGCAGGCGGUCCUUUAAGUCUGAUGUGAAGCCCCGGGCUCAACCUGGGAACGGCGCGCGAAACGGGGGGGGCUGGAGUUCGGGAGAGGAGAGUGGGAAUUCCCAGUGUAGAGGUGAAAUUCGUAGAUAUUGGGGAAGAGCACCGGUGGCGAAGGCGGCUCUCUGGACCGAGAC